rnacentral:misc_RNA from 1 species
AAGUCGUAACAAGGUUUCCGUAGGUGAACCUGCGGAAGGAUCAUUGGAAGAGGGGGAGAGAUGAUAGUUGGAAUGAGAGUGAAUAAUCUUUAAUCUACAACAACAACAACAACAACUGCUGACAAUGGAUCUCUGGGCUCUU